rnacentral:rRNA from 1 species
GAUGAACGCUGGCGGCGUGCCUAAUACAUGCAAGUCGAGCGAAUGGAUUAAGAGCUUGCUCUUAUGAAGUUAGCGGCGGACGGGUGAGUAACACGUGGGUAACCUGCCCAUAAGACUGGGAUAACUCCGGGAAACCGGGGCUAAUACCGGAUAACAUUUUGAACCGCAUGGUUCGAAAUUGAAAGGCGGCUUCGGCUGUCACUUAUGGAUGGACCCGCGUCGCAUUAGCUAGUUGGUGAGGUAACGGCUCACCAAGGCAACGAUGCGUAGCCGACCUGAGAGGGUGAUCGGCCACACUGGGACUUAGACACGGCCCAGACUCCUACGGGAGGCAGCAGUAGGGAAUCUUCCGCAAUGGACGAAAGUCUGACGGAGCAACGCCGCGUGAAUGAUGAAGGCUUUCGGGUCGUAAAACUCUGUUGUUAGGGAAGAACAAGUGCUAGUUGAAUAAGCUGGCACCUUGACGGUACCUAACCAGAAGGCCACGGCUAACUACGUGCCAGCCGCCGCUGUAA